GGACCAGGAGGACCACCAGGACCACCUGGACCGCCAGGGCCACCCGGACCACCUGGAUGGGGUCCACCCGGACCGCCUGGACCACCCGGAUGGGGUCCAGGACCAGGAGGACCGUUCUUCUGUGGUUUUUUUGACAUGAUUGGUACUUGCCUGAGCUUCUUAUGCUGUUGCUGGUUGUUUCAAGAUUGCUUUGGUGGCCCACCUGGGCCUCCUGGGCCCCCUGGCCCACCAGGACCACCUCCUCCAUAAUCAACUUCUUCCUACCAAUACACACACCAUGUGCAACUACUAUCUAGAGAUAUACAUCUAUCAGCUAUGUGAAAAUAAUGACCACUUUAGAGCAAAAGGACUUAGUAACAAGUUACUAAAAUUGAAAGACAUACUGGUUUUUAGUGUGCCAGUUUAAUGUCUCUCUUUAUCAAUGGCUAUUGGACAUUUAUUUGUAUGCAUUUAAUUUUAAUUAUAACUAUUGGAUAUAUGUGAUGAUCUGAAUGAACCAUCCAAUCCGAUGCAUUCAUUCCUUUUGA